GAUGAACGCUGGCGGCGUGGAUUAGGCAUGCAAGUCGAACGGUAUCAUCCUUUCGGGGGUGAGAGAGUGGCGAACUGGUGAGUAACACGUAGGUUAUCUACCCUCAAGACGGGGACAACCCAGGGAAACUUGGGCUAAUACCGGAUGUGAGCAACUUUUAGUUGUUUGAAAGGUGGCGUAAGCUGUCGCUUGGGGAUGAGCCUGCGUCCUAUUAGUUAGUUGGUGAGGUAACGGCUCACCUAGGCAAUGAUAGGUAGGCGGCCUUAACGGGUGGUCGCCCACACUGGGAUUGAGAUACGGCCCAGACUCCUACGGGAGGCAGCAGUCGAGAAUAGUCUACAAUGGUCGGAAGACUGAUAGUGCGACGCCGCGUGAACGAUGAAUCCCUUCGGGGUGUAAAGUUCUUUUAUAUGUGAGCAGUGCUUCUUAUAUUAACAGUAUGGGGAGAGAGAUAUUAGCAUAUGAAUAAGCAACGGCUAACUCCGUGCCAGCAGCCGCGGU
rnacentral:rRNA from 1 species